rnacentral:tRNA from 1 species
AGGGGUGUAGCUUAGUGGUAGAGUGUGUACUUAGCAUGUGUGAGGUCCUGGGUUCAAUUUCCACACUCCCA